rnacentral:snRNA from 1 species
GCAUAUGUGGGCAAUAUGGCUUCUGUCAUCUCACUGAUUGGCAAGGCUGGUGUCCCCCAGCUCCCUCAUGGUUCCACACAUGUCCUUCCCAUAUGUGUAGGUUAAAGAGGAGGACCUUCCCAGAUAAAAGAGGACUGGUCUUUGGUCAAAGGUAUUCAAGUAGCUACGCUCCUUUGCUAGAACCUCUCAAAUAUUACCAAAUAUUCUUCAAAUAUUUUGCAGAGCAUAAUUUUUUGAGUAAUAUAAAUACCAAUAUUAGCUGGGCACAUGCCUUU